ensembl:lncRNA
CAAAACUUAUUUAUUUAUUUAUUUAUUUAUUUUUGUUGGGAGCAACAUCUUUGCGAGGCACCGCUGUCUGUGUAGCUAUAGCAGCAAUUUAUUCGGUGCGUGACCCAGUGACGACGUGGGGGAAUUCUGCCUGAUGCAAUGGAGAAUGUGAGAUGUUGACAACUUUCCCAACAGCGGCUCAUCAGCGGGAAAUAGGUGAGCACCUGACUUCUAACAGAAAGGAGUUAGUUUACCCAGCAAUUAUGUGUCUCCUAACUACUGCUUGGUAUUUAAAGAGAUGAUUUGGUGUUGAGGAAAACAGAUAUGCUUCAGAUAUGGGGCGGAUGAGGCCUCAGAUGCGUGGGUACAAUGCUGUGGGACCCAAGCCUGCUGCAGAACCUAUAAGAGCUGAAAAAAAAGCCAUACUUAGGACUGGGAGCUCACAAAUAGCCUGUCCAGAAGAAUCAUCCUGCAACCUGGUGCUUCGGACGUGCACAUGUCAGGAAGCAGCAAUGCCAAAGCCUGGACAGCAGGAGGAAGCAAACAUAGAGUGGGGCAGGAAAAACUGGUGUUAAAAUGAUACUGGCUUUGCAAGGCAACACUCAUCGGCUACUUCAUAGCAAUAACACAGGGGGUCUCUGAGAGGAAGCCGUGUCUCUGUAGGAGGGAAACUUAAGGAAUGAACCACAGAAUAGUUGGGGUUGGCAGGGCCCUGUGGGUCCAUGUGGCACAACCCCUGCUCCAACAGGGACAGCCAGCACAGGGAGCCCAGCAUUUUCCUUGUUGGACUUCAUGCCAUCGCUGUCACCCAGACCCCCGUGUUUCUAUCUGGACCCCCCUAGGCUUCUCCUAGUGUUGUGGAUGCCACUGACAACACUGCAGCACGGGGAAAGAUCUGCUCCUGCUUCCCUGCUGCCUCUCCUCGCAGGCCUCGGCCCUGGCCUGCUGCUGAGGGAGGGAGGCCAUGUUGGGCCUGCAUGCUGGGGUGCCAGGUGCCUCAGGACCGUCUCGCUUGUAGGGGACCCAGCUGGCUGUGGCGAUGCAACUGCGGUGCCCUUCUGUGGCAAAGAUAGAGAACUGCAGCCCUCUUUCAGGCUCCUUUGUGCAAACCAAGCAGGUUUGCCCUGGGCAGGAGAGCUACAAGCUGAGAUCCUUGUAAGGGCUGAGAGGUGGCAGAUGCCCACAGAGAGGGGAGGAAAGAAGGGG